rnacentral:misc_RNA from 1 species
GAUGAAGAACGUAGCGAAAUGCGAUACUUGGUGUGAAUUGCAGAAUCCCGUGAACCAUCGAGUCUUUGAACGCAAGUUGCGCCCGAAGCCAUCAGGUUGAGGGCACGUCUGCCUGGGCGUCACAUAUCGUUGCCCAAUGCCUAUUGCAGUGCAAUAGGAAUUUCUAGGGCGAAUGAUGGCUUCCCGUGAGCGUUGUUGCCUCGCGGUUGGUUGAAAAUCGAGUCCUUGGUAGGGUGUGCCAUGGUAGAUGGUGGUCGAGUUAGAACGAUACCGAUCAUGUGCAUGCUCCCCAAAAUAUGGCCUCUAUGACCCACACGCGUCUUUUACGCUCAUGACGAGACCUCAGGUCAGGCGGGGCUACCCGCUGAAUUUAAGCAUAUCAAUAAGCGGAGGA